GGAAGGAUCAUUAACACUAAUCCACAUAUCUCAACUUAGCCUUCAGUGCAGUAACAAAGCAAGCUAGCGAAAGCGGGCAUGCUUCUGUUGCCGCAUCAAUAAACUAAUCAAACAAAGGAGUUUAACUAAGCUCAAUUUUAAAACCAAAUUCUCAACGAUGGAUAUCUUGGUUCCCAUAACGAUGAAGAACGCAGCGAAGUGCGAUAAGCAAUGCGAAUUGCAGAACCGUGAGUCAUCAGAUUUUUGAACGCAAUUGGCGCCAACUGGCUAUCCAGUCGGCAUGCUUGUUUCAGUGUCUUUUUAUCUCAUCACCCAUAUCUUAAUGCGAGAGAUACCCUUCUCUUGCCAAGUAUGAAAGCACUCUGAGCUCUGCACGCGGCUUCACUUCGGUGAAUCCGCACUCAAUGCAGCAGUCACAUUUUACAAUGUGAACUCAUUGAGAGUUGAGUCAGCGCAGUUUACUGCAAGUGUUUAGAUCACUAAACUCUUCUUGUAUCUGAAAUCAAGCAGGAUCACCCGCUGAACUUAAGCAUAUCACUAAGCGGAGGAAAAGAAAUUAACUAAGAUUGCCUCAGUAACGGCGAGUGAAGCGGCAAAAGCCCAAACUGGAAAUCUUCACACUGCGUGUGACGAAUUGUAAUCUAUAGGACGAAAGCUCAAUUGGAUGUGGCGCAGAAGUGCCUUAGAACGGGCCGCCAGAGAGGGUGACAGCCCCGUAUGUGGUGCCACGUCCUAACGAGCUGAGUUCGAAGAGUCGGGUAGUUUUGAAAUGCUGCCCUAAUCUGGGAGAUAGACUUCUUCUAAGGCUAAAUAUAUAUGGGAAACCGAUAGCGAACAAGUACUGUGAAGGAAAGAUGAAAAGAACUUUGAAAAGAGAGUCAAAAGACUUGAAAUCGUUGAGAAGGAAGCGGUAGAAAUUUAUUCUUCUGUCGAGAAUGAUGGUGUUUGGCUUGCGUAUUGGGGGAGUUUAGCACUUCAACGGCUGGCUCUUUCACUUGCGUAACCGAUAGCUGGAUUCUUUGCAGUGAGGCAAAAUGGGAUGUCGUCUCCACAAAAGCUUUUCUUACUCGGGGGGCUUCGGCUCUCAGUCUGAAUUUGUUAGUGGGUGCGGCGUCCGAGGAUGAUUUGUUCGAUUUUGCCAAAAUGGUUUUUACCGACCCGUCUUGAAACACGGACCAAGGAGUCUAACAAAUAUGCGAGUGUGCUGGUGGAAAAACCAACACGCGUAAUGAAGGUAAAUGAUGCCAAGCGCAAGCAGCAGCAUCAACCGACCAUGAUCCUCUGGUGAAAGGUUUGAGUAUGAGCAUAUCUGUUAGGACCCGAAAGAUGGUGAACUAUGCCUGAGUAGGGUGAAGCCAGGGGAAACUCUGGUGGAGGCUCGCAGCGGUUCUGACGUGCAAAUCGAUCGUCAAACUUGGGUAUAGGGGCGAAAGACUAAUCGAACCAUCUAGUAGCUGGUUCCCUC
rnacentral:misc_RNA from 1 species